GACGAACCGUCCAAACGUUGUUCGGAAUCACUGGGCUUAAAGGGCGCGUAGGCGGCUUCCUAAGUCAGGGGUGAAAUCCGGCAGCUCAACUGUCGCAGUGCCUUUGAUACUGGGAAGCUCGAGGGAUGUAGGGGUCUGUGGAACUUCCGGUGGAGCGGUGAAAUGCGUUGAUAUCGGAAGGAACGCCGGUGGCGAAAGCGACGGACUGGACAUCUUCUGACGCUGAGGCGCGAAAGCCAGGGGAGCAAACGGG
rnacentral:rRNA from 1 species